rnacentral:rRNA from 1 species
UUGACCUCCGAUCAGGUAGGGAUACCC